GUACUUUAUGAGUGUUACUGGCGAGACGCUGGUCAUGUGAUGAGUUCGUAAAUGAGAUGUCAGUUGUUGCCACUACACAGCGAAAAACAAGUUGGAACCAACAUGCAGUGCCUCCAGCAGGAAGAGGCAAGAACCAUUCGUCCUCCAGCAGUACCUCCAGCAGGAAGAGGCAAGAACCAUUCGUCCUCCAGCUCAGGGACAAACUACACUAUUCACAGCCCUGUGUAAUGUUACAUGUAAUUGCAUUGCUGGAAUUCUUUGAAACGUCAUGUAUUUGUAUUGUUUAAAAAAUGUACAAAUAAAAGGAAACGUAUGGUUUAAA